CUUGGACUUAUCGGUGACCGCUCAAACGAUUGCCCAUGCUAUACGAAUUUUGCACAUCCACUGCCGAAGCACCACCGAACACUCGACACUGAAACACGACACUGAGGGAAGCAAACUACAGCCACGGGCACAGCUCUCCUCCAGCGCUGGCUCAAACAUUCAGGCAAAAGUGCGGCGAGUACUCGAGUAGGGAGAAUCCACAGAGAGAUAGAGAGACAGAGGGUGACGGGAGACGGGAGACCAGAGACGAGACCUUCGACCGAACCGGUGCGCAUCUCAAUUCAGCAAAUACUGAAAAUGGAAUUCUUUACGAAAACCACAAAAUGCCGCACCAAAAACACAGUCUGUCUGUAGCUUUCAUAUAUCUGAAUCUUUGUGUAUUUGUAUCUGUA
rnacentral:sRNA from 1 species